CGGCGCGUAGGGAGGGGUCGGAGGAGAAGGUGUUGAGGAAGAGGUCGUAGAGGAGCGUGGAGAGGAGGGUGGAGGAGCAGAGCUUGUUCCCCAGGUGAAACGACAGCGACCGCUCCAGCGACGAGUGGGAGAGUAUGGUGGAGUAGAGGUAGCUGGCCAGAGCCGGCUCCGACUCGGCAUCGCCCCGCGCCUCGGCUUUGAUCUGGGUCCACACCCAAGCCUCCCACUCGGCGUCCGAGGACCACUCUGCGCACCUGAGAUCGCCGGCUGGCAUCGUAUCGGAGAUGGCUACUGCUGCUGCGGCGC
rnacentral:lncRNA from 1 species